AGCUGUCCAGGUAGACAAAUUAAAUCUGCCAAUCAUAUGUUCCCGUUUUAAACCAAAAGUAAUAUGUCGUCUCCAAUUCUUCCACUUCGUUUUCAUCGUUACAAAUCCCUGCAAAUUGGCGUUUAAUUGAAGAUAUUUACAGAUCAAUUCUAUUGAGAUUCAAAUAAAUUUUUACGAUUCAUGUCCUAUAUCUCUCCAUCAUUCUUAAAAACCGUGAGGGUGAUCUCAACACUGUAGCGCAGAUAAGAAAGCUCGGGGUUGGACAGGUGUACGCUGCCUCUGUGAUGUAUUGGUGGCAAUGAAGAUUCUCCCAGGCGGGUCGGAUGAAGGUGAGACUGGCAUUGAGCAGGCGGGAAGGAAAGGAGAGAGAAGGUUCUAUGAAGUAACGUAAGAGACGUAUCAAGCUGUUUCCUCAAACCAAGAAGUUGGUUCGUUUGUGGGAGGGAUCAAUGCGAGGGGUGGUUCCAGCAGCGAAAUGAAACAGUCCCCAUUGAAGACGUACGUCAUGUCCUUGUGUUGGAGGCUGUGACGUUUGGUUCGUUCCUAUGGGAUGUGGAGAGUCAUGUAGAUUCAAGAUAACAGAAAGUUUUGAGCUUUUAUGUGUUCUGCGAGUCUAUCGCUUGAUCAAUCAUUGUAUGAGAAGCAGUUUUACUCUUUGUGUGUGGUUUGUUCAGUUACAGAGAAGGAGCUUUAGCCAAGGGAGGAGAAGAGUGAACAAAAGAACCAGCUUGGCUCAGAAGGAAGAUGUAAUCAAGAGAACUGUUUAUGUCAAAGACAUCGAUCAACAGGUUAAAAAAAAGGGGAAUCUGUUGGUUUUAACCUUUCGUCAUUGGGAUGGAUCCACCCAGUACAAACUACUCUGUCAUGAAGAGAGCAUUUGAUGAAGGUUGUAGAGGCGUCAUCGCUAAAACAAAUCAAAACAGCUGCUAGACAAGUUGUGCGCUUCUGGAGGACGUUUGCGGAUGGAUUAAUGCUAAAGCCAUUGUUCCAGUAUGGGCUAAGAGCCUAAGAUGACUUCUAACAGAGGGACGGACAUCUUUCUCGCAGGCGGCUCAGAUCAUGUUUCUUCGUCCUCGGCUCUCUUAAAACACUGUUAAGUUAUGGUUGUAGAGCUGUGAAGUUUAAGACAGCCGA